UGGUGGGUGGAUAGGGAGGAGUGGAUAGUGGAAGAGAGAUGCGGAGAGUAGGAUGGUGGAAGGGGAGGUGGAGGUGGCCAUGGCGGACGUGACUGUUUUGAGGUGGUGGUUGUGGUGGUGUUUGGUGUGGUUGGAAUGGUUGUAGAGGGUGUUGGUAGUGAUGGUGAACGUGACUGGCUUGUGGUAAAGGUGGUUGUGGUUGUUGGGGAUGGUGGUGGUUGUGUAACAGUGGUGGAGGUAGCGGACGUAACGGUGUUGUGGUUGUUGGGUGUGGUUGAGAGGUUGGGGUGGUGAUGUGGUGGUGGUGGUAGUUGGGAGUGGUGGUGUGGUGGUGGUGGUGGUGAUGUUACGGUUGUCAGGGUUUAUAGGGAGAUGGUCGUGUGUGUGUGUGUGUGUGUGUGUGUGUGUGUACUCCUGUAAUCAGCAAACUGUGGUCACUCGUUCGCUUGUUUCACCUCCCUGCUUCAGGCCUUCCUUCUCUCCCCUCCCCUCCCUUCCCGCUCCCUUCCUCUCCUGCCUGCCGCCCUCUCCCCUCUCUUCCUCGCCUGCUCUCCCCUGCUCCUCGUGUCCCAGGUAACCCAUGAACUACCCCUAACAAUUGUGAUGAAGAACCAGAAGUGGGCUGUAGGUGACGAGAUAACUACUCCAGGUCAUCGCGGAAGUGGCGAGGUGACCCCAUACAACUCCACAAGGUCGUGGAGAACGCCAGGCAUAGUCCUGCACACUCCAGAAAUUCAUAUCAACACCACCUUGACUCCUUCUGCUAGCUGGCGAAGGCCACGUGGUCACCUACACUCAGCCAUCCACCUCACCUGGACACCCACCUGCCCCGGACAUCAUCCAGCCGCAAGAACCCAGAUAAGCACUUCCGGGGUCCUUGGUUUUGAUUAGCUAGCUAGUUUAGUUAGGGGUCACUUGCUGUAGAUAGGAACCCUCCUCGGUCUUCUUCUUUUUUUUUUUUUUUGGUGUAACGCUGUGCUCCACGUGAGUGAUAAACAUUGUUUAUCUUUUAUUUUUUUUUUCCUGAAGACCAGUUGAUGUGGUUAUCUUGGAGGUUAACGGAGAAGAGUACUUUACACCUGUGUUUUUAUUUAUUUUCUUAUAAGUCACUUUUUGCUUUUUGUUGAUUACUAUUUAUUUAUUUAUUUUUAUUGAAAAAUGAGUGUGAAUGCAGCACAAUAUAUAAAGGUGUGCAUUCCAGAGUGAAAGGAAGGCGUGCACAGGGUAGAGUGCACAGGAUGCAGUGCCUUUUUUAUCACCAGACCUUGAUUGAUUGAAGCAAAUGAAAACUUUGGUGUGAGUACCUUACGAAGACACUUGACAAUACUAAUGUCACCUCACCUCGUGGUUUCACCUUAACACCUACAAACAUUGGCUGGACACAAGGUCACAGAAAUAAUUUAUUCUCAUUUAUUCUCAUCUUUACAAAUUACAGUCUUUCCACAUCAAAGUAACUAAUCACCUUUAUUCAUACACUUGAGGGUGGUUGAAGGAUCGCUAAUCCUUUGUUAAAUUGCCUGUGUUCAACUCGUAUCUCCUCCCUCAUUUAUUUAAAAAGUAUUUUGAUCAGGAAGGAUAGGAGAACAAAGUCUGCUAUCUUUUUUCUUUUAUUGUACGAUUUUUUUUCGAUGAAAAGUAAAAAAAAAAACUGAAAUAUUUGUCAAAAAUCAAAAUCAACUCCAAACAAAAAUGACGACAGCAGACUUUAUUCGCCUAUCACAGUUUGAUAAGCCGCAAUAGCCCAUCUGUCUGUAACACCAAUAAAAACGGAGCAGAUCAUUUUUAUAUGCUAAAAUCCGCCAUUUUGAGAUAUUAUGUCAUAAAGUUUAAGGGGUGACUAAUUCACCUAUUGCAGCCAGGGACUUGAAAUUCACGCGAUAUAUACAUCAGAAUAUGUUGAAAAAACAGACAUAGUUUUAGUUACUACGAUUGGUUUUGUGUAUAAGGCCUAAAGCUAUUCAUGAUUUCACCCUUAAUUACCGGGUGGGAGGGGAGAAGGCGGGUGAAAACAAUUUUUGUUAUAUUUCGCCAUAUUUCUAAGUAAAAACCAGUGUUUAAUUGUUUGAAAAUAAAUAAAAUAUUAAUGCAAAAGAUAUCUAAUGCAGAUACAUUAACUAUUUGCUAGAUUUACGAAAAAAAAAAUAAUUAUAUGAUUUUUUUUUCGUAUAUCAAUUUGAGAAAAUAGUUAGACCUAGAAUUUCGUGCUUUCUAAUAUUGUAUGCAGCAAGAGAACCGUAGAUAUUCAUGGGAGAGUGAAGAAGAACGGGUAUGUCAGAAAAAUAUAUGAAAAGAGAAAAAAAAUGUAAAAAAAACUUGUGUGACAUGUCUCGCAGCGGGCGAAACCGUGGGAAUUUCAUAACAGAAGACCUCUUCACAUAAGGGGAUUUUUUUAGUUCUUAUCAAAACGUUACAUAUAUCAAAAGAAGCGGAAAAAAAUUAGAAAAUUAUAAAAGAAAAAAAACUUCUUUCAUGUCCGGAUCGUACAUCACCCUUGAUGCAAAAAAUGUCCGCGCCUGACGUUGUUAACACACACGACACACACUUCCCUUGAGAAAAGAUAGUAUGAAUGUCUUCACGAGUGUCCUACUGUUUCAUUUUAGAGCCCCUCCUCUUGAUGACGACACGCACACUGUCAGCUACACUUUGCAGCGUCUCUCUCUUAAAUUUUCCCCAAUAUCUUUGUAUCUCCAUUUCAGAUGAAUUGUUCUCUUUCCAAGGGUUGAGGAGAACAUUGUCGUGGUUCAAGUGAAGCCACUACAGCCACUGCCUGACAAGUCUUCCACACUGGUGAGUGUUGUUCAAGCAUGUCUUAGUAUUGCUAAUUCCUUAUUUCCCAGAAUAUCUACCACUAUAUAGUGGAAAUGCCUUACCAACACAAAUAACGUCAAGCAAAAAUAGACUCUACACUAAGUGAUGAAAAACGUAGCAUCAUCCGCUGCACCAAACAAUACAGCAGCGAAGUGACACUGCCAGGACUUGAACCAACACCUGCCUGCCUCACUGACACCUGCCGUGGUGCCAGGGAGUGCCGAGGCCCGUGCUGCCACCACGCUGAGAGAGGGAGAAAGAGAAGAGCAUCAGAGAAGGAUGACCGUGGCAGGAAGGAUGGUGUGUUAGGUGACUGGUUCAGACAGUGACAGUGGACAGAAGAAAUGCUGGAGAAAGAUUAGACCACAGGUGGUUCAUGUUGUACUAGUUCAAGGUUUGGCAGAAAACAUUUUUUUCUAGAUAGACAGUGGCAGCAAACACACAAGGGAGGAUGGUGUGGUGGACAAGAGGAUGCAGGGAGACGGCAGACAGAAUGGAAGCUACAGAUGAAAGAAGAGCAGGUCAAGCCAUGGCAGCAGACAGACAGACAGAGACAGAUUGGAUCAGAAAGUAUUAUUAUUUAGUGAGGUAAGGAACUGUACAGCCCUUCACAGUGCCGACUACUUGAUAGCAGAGGUGGUUCAUGUUGGUUCAGUAUUUCAGGAUUUGGUUUGAAGCUGUUACGUGAAAAGAACAGUCUGAGGAACGAGAGGUUGUAUUGUCACUUGUCAACAAAGUGGCAGAGUAUUAUUAUAACAUUUAGAGCCAAAGCAGUACCAGCUGCCUCAGUGUGUCAUCUCCAUUGUAUACUGACAGUCUUGUCUACGCUAGUGGAGGAGAGAGAGGAACAAACCUUGAAUCGUCCAAGGUAGAGUUUGUAGCAAAGGAUUGAGCAAAGAGUUCAGCUUUAGAGAUAGAUGUGAUAGCAGUGGUGCCGCACAUCUGGUUGAAAUAAAGGAGGGAAAGAAGAAUCAAAGUUAUUAUAGAUGUUUUUGGGUUAAGUGGCAGAAGUCACGGGGGCACUUAGAUCUUGAAAGGUUUUGACACUAUUAAUGAAGGAGUUUUUGGCUAGUUGGAGAACAGACUUGGCAUGGUUCCGGGCAAAAAUGUAAAGUGCAUGAGAUUCUGGUGAUGGAAGGCUUAAGCACCUUUGGUGGGACACAUCUCUCUCAUGUAUAGCACGAGAACAAGCUAUGUUAAACCAAGUUUUGGAGGUUUAGGUCGAGAAAAAGAGUGAGGAAUGUACGCCUCCAUGCCAGACACUAUCAUCUCUUAUGCACUCGGCACACAGGGCGGUCUCCGUCACGGACGCAGUAGUCAUUCCAAGGAAAAUCAGCAAAAUACCUCCUCAGGUUCCCCCAACUAGCAUAGCCAACACGCCAGAGGCACCUUCGCUUAGGGGAUCCUGAGGAGGGAUUGGAGUGAUAGGACAAGAUACAGAUACUAGAUGUGAUCGGAGAGCCCAACAGAGAAGAGAUGGUAACAGAAUAAGCAGAAGGAUUAGAGGUCAGGAAAAGGUCAAGAAUGUUGGGCAUAUCUCUAAGACGGUCAGGAAUACGAUUAGAGUGUUGCACCAAUUGCUCUAGGUCAUGGAGGAUAGCAAAUUUAAAGGUUAGUUCACCAGGAUGGUCAGUGAAGGGAGAGGAAAGCCAAAGCUGGUGGUGAACAUUGAAGUCUCCAAGAAUGGAGAUCCCUGCAAAAGGGAAGAGAGUUAGAAUGUGCUCCACUUUGGAAGUUAAGUAGUCAAAGAAUUUCUUACAGUCAGAGGAGUUAGGUGAAAGGUAUACAACACAGAUAAAUUUAGUAUGAAAGGGACUCUGUUGUCGUAGCCAGGUGGUGGAAAACCCAAAAGAUUCAAGAGCGUGGGCACAAAAGCAGGUUAAUUUCAUUGCGCACAUAAACACAACAUCCAGCUUUGGAUAGAGAAAGUAAGAGGAAACUGAAAAGGGGCUACUGUCAGUUGCCUCAGACACCAGGGUUUCAGUGAGGAAAGGAUGAUGAAGCUUAAUAGAGGAGAGGCAGUGUUCUGCAACAUUCGCGUUCAAUCUGUGGAAGUUUAAGAAGAAAAACUGAGAGGGGUGUCAAGACAUUUAGGGUCGUUACCAGAUGGGGACUCCGAGGCUGGUAUAGGAGUGUGUGUGUAAUAAUUAGGUGGUUGUAGUUGUUUUGUGUGCAGGAAGAGAGGUAUCUCCAUGACCAUAACGUUUGGUACGAGUGAAAACAUCCUUUGGUUUCCACAGAUAUUUACCACAUACUUACACACUAGUAACAAUUUCCACCAGUAGCACCAGAAGCAGUCUUCCUCACACGAACCGUUUCAUUGCCGGGACUUGAAGGCUGCUGAAGCAAUGCGGCGGAGGUCACGCCCCUUAAAGUAUUUAUACUUACUGUCAACACCAUAACUAAAGCAAACACUUUAGUGCAGGUAGUUAAAUAAGUGCAAUCAUUGUUCCAGAUUCCUAAAUUCACAAAGUACAUAAACUCAUUGAAAGUUUUUAGUGCAGGUAAUUAAAGUUUUAGUGAAAUAAUUGUUCCUAUUCCUAAUGUUGUGUGGUGCAUUACCUCAGACAGGCCCACUGGAAGCUGUCAGUCUGCUGCGGCACGUGGCAAGAACCAAGUGUUGAGGAGCACACGUUGUCCCUUCACCAGUCAGCAGACUGCUCGCCUUCACAGAUCUGGGUGGCUCGGAAGUCUCACUACAAACUGGAGAUCCAUUCUCUUGGACACAGCUGGAGUCGGACACAAGAUUCAAGAGGGAGUCAUUUUAACGAGAGCUUCAGGCAGAA